UUACCAGCUUACGUCAACUUUGCAGUGUACGUAAACUUCAAGAAAAGUUAGGUUAUGUAGAGAUGUUGGUUGUUUGAUUUUAUUUAUUAUUCUUACUUAUAAUUUUGUUAAUUCUUUUUAUUUUUGAUUAAAGUUCUGUGUUAAAGGUUUUGACUGAUUUUUUAUGUUUUAUAAUGUUAAUCAAAAUUAAUUGAUAAACCAAUUAGGCAAUCCAAACCACGUGACCUCUGGUUGGCACACAAACUAAAGAAGAGGUUAUGUUUGUAUCUAUUUUUCAAUGAUUUUUCAUUGUUUAUCGUCGUAUUUUGGAUUCAUUUGGAUUUCGUUUCCUGUUUUUGUGAACUUUAUAAACUUUACCACAAUGCGAACUGAUUAUUUAAGGAAAUUAUUAUUGGAAACUCCAGAUGUUGCGAGAAAGAUAUUUAUUGAAGCUGAAAAUAAUUGGGGAUUUAGAUCCAUACGGAAUUCAGUCAGAAUUGGAUUUUACAGUAAAGUGCAGUCCAUCAAGUUACUAUUAUAGAUAUGUAUUUAUACAGAUCUGGUGGGGUCUCACAGUUGCUACUCUAAGCAGCAGAUGAAAGCAUACAAAAGCCUUCAGGCACAUAAAUAUUUUACAGCUGGAUUUGUUUUGAAUGGAGUAAAAAUUGUUAAUGAUUUCCUGAUUUCCAUAUUAUUGUUGGAAAGGUGAAGCAUUUCCAAAAAGCUAAUGCUAAACGACUAAAUGCUUGGGUGGGGUGAUAGCCAGUUCUGAUGACAUAGCAAAUGCACAUUGUAUGCGUAUGGCCGGUAAUAGUGAAGUCUGCAGCCAUAUUGCAGCAAUCCUAUUUUUAGCUGAGUAUGCCCAGAGCAAGACAGACGAAGAAGAACCCAAUGCAUGUACAUAUGUUACAGCUACAUGGUUUGGAGAUAGCAACAUAUGCAUUCUCUGAUGAAAAACUAAUGAGUUUUGAAACUGUUCGGUCAGAGUGCUUGUUGCGCUCACUAAACGAACUGAAAUAUAAGAAGUCUUUGGCAUUGUGUUGCAGCGAUAUGAAAAUGGUUAUUCAUUUUUAAUUAUAAUGUACUUCUUCAUCAUGAGUAAUUAUGUAUUGGUCUUUUAGAUGUGUAUUUAUUUUUGUAAUUAGUAUCAACUUGUAAUGAUAAUAUACAUUUAUCGUUUAAGGUACGACUAUGUUUUGACUCUAAAAUAAAUGUUUUAAAAAUCGAA